UUGACUUUAGGUAUCAUCUACCACCUUCAAUAUAUAGUCGUGCUACCUUCCUUUGGAGAUUUUUGUCAAAUUUCUUAUCAAGACCAACCUAUAUCUUCAGCCUUCGUUAAUGAUUGCAAUCAUCAUUAACCUUUUGCUUCUCAGUAUUUCACUUAUUUAUAUAUCAUAUUCUCUUUGGUCAAAUUAUUUAUUUAAAUAGUUCUUAAGAAACAGCCCUUUGGAAUUCUGUUGAGAAGGAUGCUUUGAACAUCUAAGCAGAUAUCAACGACUUGCUUACGCUGAAGAUUUCCCUCUACCUCUAAGAGAAUGUGUGUUCAGCUGCUACACCAUGUGAAAUACUAUAAUUGGAACCUAUUCUACAUUCAAAUAGAUAAAUUAUUAAUACUCUGGGCUGCUGUUAAACAAGCAUCACAUUUGCGGCAUUGAAAUUCUGAUUUGUCAAGUAUUGGGGGAUGUAACUAUAUUAAACAAUGCGUCUAUGUCUAUGUGUGGGGGACAAUAUUCUUUAGAAGGGGGAUCUUAAUCAGUCUCAUGUUGAGCAAAAGAAAAUUGUAAACUAUGC